GACAGAGGGUGCAAACGUUGCUCGGAAUCACUGGGCGUAAAGGGCGUGUAGGCGGAUCGGCAGGUCGGGCGUGAAAUCCCCAGGCUCAACCUGGGAACUGCACUCGAAACUGCCUUUCUUGAGUACCGGAGAGGAAAGCGGAAUACCUGGUGUAGAGGUGAAAUUCGUAGAUAUCAGGUGGAACACCAGUGGCGAAGGCGGCUUUCUGGACGGUAACUGACGCUGAGACGCGAAAGCGUGGGGAGCAAACAGG
rnacentral:rRNA from 1 species